rnacentral:rRNA from 1 species
CCGUAACUAUAACGGUCCUAAGGUAGCGAAAUUCCUUGUCGGGUAAGUUCCGACCCGCACGAAAGGCGUAACGAUUUGGGCACUGUCUCAACGAGAGACUCGGUGAAAUCAUAGUACCUGUGAAGAUGCAGGUUACCCGCGACAGGACGGAAAGACCCCGUGGAGCUUUACUGUAGCCUGAUAUUGAAAUUUGGCACAGCUUGUACAGGAUAGGUAGGAGCCUUUGAAACGUGAGCGCUAGCUUACGUGGAGGCGCUGGUGGGAUACUACCCUGGCUGUGUUGACUUUCUAACCCGCACCAUUUGAUCAUGGUGGGAGACAGUGUCAGGCGGGCAGUUUGACUGGGGCGGUCGCCUCCUAAAGAGUAACGGAGGCGCUCAAAGGUUCCCUCAGAAUGGUUGGAAAUCAUUCGCAGAGUGUAAAGGCACAAGGGAGCUUGACUGCGAGACCUACAAGUCGAGCAGGGUCGAAAGACGGACUUAGUGAUCCGGUGGUUCCGCAUGGAAGGGCCAUCGCUCAACGGAUAAAAGCUACCCCGGGGAUAACAGGCUUAUCUCCCCCAAGAGUUCACAUCGACGGGGAGGUUUGGCACCUCGAUGUCGGCUCAUCGCAUCCUGGGGCUGUAGUCGGUCCCAAGGGUUGGGCUGUUCGCCCAUUAAAGCGGUACGCGAGCUGGGUUCAGAACGUCGUGAGACAGUUCGGUCCCUAUCCGUCGUGGGCGUAGGAAAUUUGAGAGGAGCUGUCCUUAGUACGAGAGGACCGGGAUGGACAUACCUCUGGUGUACCAGUUGUCGCGCCAGCGGCAUAGCUGGGUAGCUAUGUAUGGACGGGAUAAGUGCUGAAAGCAUCUAAGCAUGAAGCCCCCCUCAAGAUGAGAUUUCCCAACUUCGGUUAUAAGAUCCCUCAAAGAUGAUGAGGUUAAUAGGUUCGGGGUGUAAGCGCAGUAAUGUGUGUAGCUGACGAAUACUAAUCGAUCGAAGACUUAAUCAAAUUUUA